AUCCUCCUGCCUCUGCCUCCCAAAAUGCUGGGAUUAUAGGUGUAAGCCACUGUACCCAGCCUAAAUGAGUGAGUCUUUAACCUUCCUUCUAGUUGGCUUGAGUAGAACUCCAAGGAAUAUGAAAGUCAAUUCUCCUUCUAAUAGAUGGUAAAUGAAACCCUUUGGAUUUGAAUAAAGAGAAUGGUUCUCUCUCUCUCUCUCACACUCUUUCUCUCUUUCUUUCUCUUGCUCUCGUGCUCUCUUGCUCUCUCCUGCUGUCUCUCUCUCUCAUCCUCCCAGGAAGAGCCAGAUUAGACUUAUCGGAAGACUAGUAAGUUACAUUUUAAUAUGUUAAACUAGGUGGAAACACCAUUACUAGAAAAUAAUUUAGACCUUGGGCACUUCGGAUUCAACAUGUGUUGUACUGAUAUUUUCCAGUGCCUUGGUGAUUCAUACAACUUUCUGGGAUCUUUUGGUUAACGAAGAAAAAGUCAUAAGAUCAGCAAGAAGAGAAACUAGAUUUUUGCCUCAACUCAACAUGUUAAGUAAUCACCUGACGUCUGCAUAAGACCACCUCUUGGCACCUGGCUACACAAGCUGAAAUGGGAAAACUCCUUGAGAAACCACACAAGAAUGGAACACUUGCUUAGAGACAUGAGAGUAGCCUAGAAUCUAAGAAUCUGUGCUUCCUUCUACAGUUGUCUUUGGAAGAAUAGACAUUCAUGGCAGAACAAAGAUCACUCUCUGAAGGUGUUGUAUGAGAAAUCCACAUAGGAGCAACCCAAGAAAACCAUGCAGCUCAAUACUAGCCUGGAAAGACAGAAGGAAAACAUGCCAAGUGGAGCUCACCAGAAGGACAGCAGUCAGAGUUCAAGAGCCCAGCUUUAAAAGGCAUGUAU